rnacentral:lncRNA from 1 species
UGGGGAUUGAACUCAGAGGUACUUGACCACUGAACUAUAUCCCCAGCCCUAUUUUGUAUUUUAUUUAGAGACAGGGUCUCACUGAGUUGCUUAGGGCCUUGCUGUUGCUGAGGCUGGCAUCAAACUCACAAUUCUCCUAUCAGUCUCCCGAGCCACUGGGAUUACAGGCAUGCGCCACCAUGCCCUCCUUGGACUGCUGUCUUUUAUAAGGCUUACAGUACUAGUACUAUUGGAUAGUUUGAAUUAUUUGUAUAUAUUAAUUUACUGUAAAAAUCACAUUAAAACACAUGUAAGACGCUGCUCUCAGUCAUCAAUAAUCAUUCUUUUCUCCGUAUGGGCGCUCUAGGCAGUUGACAGUUCCUCUCAAGUGUUUGUAACAUUCCAAUCCAUUCAUCCUGUAGCCAGAGGGAUUUUUUUUUUUUUUCCAAAAUGCAGAUUUGAGCCACCUCACUUUCCCUGCUUGAAACUUGUUAAUGGUCUUGCCUUACCCACCUUUCCAACUUACUCCACAGUGCUGCCCAUGUUUGCAGCCCCAGCCACAUGGGCCUUCUGUCAGUCUUUUGACAGGGCUUGCUGUUGUCACAAAGCUUUGCAUGGCCUGCUUCCUCAGCCUGGAAUGCUCUUUCCCUUCUUCCUAUGGUGACUUUCACUGGGUCUUAGAUCACCACUCUGCUGUUACAGUCUCACAGAAAGCUUGUCAGGUCCUUUACCAGGUAGCAUAUUACUCCCACAGCACCUGCACUUGACCUUCCUGGUGCUCAUUGCACAUAGCUUCGUUUUGCUUCUGUGAGUAUUUGACUGAUGUUUCUCUUUCCCACCAGCUCUGUAAUUCUCACAAGAGCAGAACUAUGUCUGUUUGUGUUUCCCUUGGUGCCUGGAACAAAUUAGGCGCUCAAUAAAUAGUGUUGACUGGCUCAAAUUUCCUUGUCAUUCUGUUAUUCUAUCAAUAUGCAAAACUUAGGGAUUUUUUUCCUAAUUAAUAUUAAAAACAAACAAAAUCCACUUCCCUAAUCUCUGAACUAAAACUGAGGAGAAGGAAAAUGGUUGCCUGUGACUUUAUGGGGCAGAUCCUUAUAGUUUUAAAACUCUAAUUUAAUGUCCUAAGAUAAACAAGACAGAACUAGAGCUGGGGAGAGAUUGGGAAAAUGUUUUCCUGCCUAAAAAGUUGGAUGUUGACUUUUGCUAUGUAUGGGAAUAUCAAAGCAAAUGUAAGAAAGGAGUGGAAAGAUUUGGGGCCUCAGUAGGAAUUCGGAGUCCUAGGUGGGUAGGAGAAUUGUGGGAGAAUCUUUAUACAAAUUAGAUUUUAUGCUGGUCCUAUUGCCUGGAAGUAAGUCCCCAUUCCUCAUACUUUCUCCAAAGUCUGCUAGGCACAUGAUUUGGGGUGGGGGGGAUACAACCCUGAACAUCACCAAAUGAGAAUAACUUCUGAAUUCCAUGGCUGGGUUGAUCUGAGGGCAUGGACAGCAGGAGGGAAGAGUGGAUAAUUCCUAAAGGAAUAGAGUUCACAGAAGCUGAAGCCAGCGGUGACCAAGGAACUCAAGACAUUUUCAGGAAAUUGAUAGGAGGGCACUGAAAUUUAUAUAGCCCAUGGAAUGAAGGGGAGUCGAGUUGAGCCAAUUUUAU